UCCCUCUUAGCUCAGUUGGUAGAGCGCUACACUAGUAUUAAACUAGAAGCACAACUGCGAUAUGUAGCGGUCAGCCGUUCGACUCGGCUAGCGGGAA